rnacentral:rRNA from 1 species
CAACUUUUAACGGUGGAUCUCUUGGCUCGMGCAUCGAUGAARAACGCAGCCAGCUGCGAUAAGUAGMGUGAAUUGCARAAUUCAGUGAAUCAUCGAAUCUUUGAACGCAAAUGGCGCUCUUGGGUUCUCCCAGGAGCAUGUCUGUYUGAGUGUCGGU